GUGCGGAUUCAUGUGCUGAGGUGUGUUUUUUUUUCUGUUCUCAAACUGAUCUCCCUGUUGGAGCUCAGUCUGGGGGGAGUUAUUUUUUCUCCUCGUCUUUCCUCAUGUUGUGCAUUUUCCAUUGUUAUACCUCUCUGACCAGUCUUCCCCAUAUGAUGUUGUAAUGUAUGUAUGGUCGGAAGGGUAAGAUGGCGCUGGCAAAGGUCGGCAGCCUUAACCCAACAAAUUUCCUACGCGUGGGACUAAUAAAGGUUAUCUUAUCUUAUCCAAAAAUCGGUCAAUUCUGCAAUGUCUCAGGGUUGUUGUCAGUUAGACUGAGUGUUUUCUUACUACCUGUCCAUCCAUUCUCUUCUGUUUGUCACAGAGGGACUGGAGGCUAUUCCAGCUACCACAGGGCGAGAGGCGGGGUACACCCUGGACAGGUCGGCAAUUCCUAAGUAUUAAGUUGAAAUCAGUGAAAUAUUGAGGUAGAAGUGCUGAAUACAUAUUUCCUUAAAAGACUGCAAGUUAGUAAACAGCAGUAAAACACAUAAAUUAAAGAAUGCUGUUUGCCUCCAACUCUACCAGCAGGUGGAGACAGAGUGGUGGUGUAGUUGUAUGCCUAAAGAUGAAGGUUUGACAGACCCUGAAGGCUCAGAAAAGAUGAUGAUUAUUUUUAAUGGUUUUUUUUUCUUUUUUUUAAAUUUUGGUGUGAAAAAUGACCUAGUGUACAACAAUAAAAUCACUUCUGUUUUAGCAAACUUAUUAUGUUCACAAUUUGAUGGUGUGUACAUUUUUAAUUUCCAUCAGCCACUUCCCGGCAUUAAACAGAAUGCUGGAAAUGUGUCUUUCUUAAUAUUUCUAUAUAAACUAUAUAAAUAUUCGCAUAUUAACAUCCUGAAAACCCCGAGAACUACAGUGUACAGACAGUAAGCUGAUUUAUAUGUUGGGUAUCAUGUCAGUGCUUUUCCACUAGGUGGCGAUAUAACUCUGUGUAUAACUCUUGAUUCAACGCUCCACCUCCAUUCAAAAAGUAAAACGUCGUGUGCUGUAGACACUUCCUAGUGUCUAAAUCGUAAAACUAUCAGGUUUACUGUUAAAAACAAUCUUCAACCACUUCAACACAAACCACCAACAAACAAAUACAGUAUAAAUACAGUAUACCACCUCAGUUUUUAAGCAUGACACACGAGAAGUAAGUCAGCAAGUGCACAUGCACGUGUCCUCUUCAUUGCAGUGCUAUGGCUUUGACCUUUGACCCUUUUUCACUCCGUUCCCAUUUCAGGAAUCUGCAGUAUCAUCAGCUCAAUGAAAUAAAAGACAAAUAUGUA
ensembl:lncRNA